UUCCUGCAGAUCUUCAGUACAAGUCCGCCCUCUUGCCCUGCGUCACCCCCGCCUUGACAUAAGGAGCGCCAUCAUGUCCACCUGCUCUCGCAUACCUGAUGCAUGCCGCGCGUCUCAUCAUGGCGCGUGCAUGAAGAGGAGACUGUGACGCUGCGCAAGGUGAACAUGACAGUUAACUUUCCUCUCGACCUCGAUAAGUGAACCUUCAUGUGAGUCACUUCCGCCUGCUGCCCCUCAAGACCCGCACUCCCAAGACUUGCGUCAGCGCUUGGAAAUAAAUCUCGCGUGAAAUCUUGGCAGUCUCUGUGUCACCUUGAUUCGCUGCAUGAAAAGUACACAGGACACCCCGAGCUGGCAGUGCACGGACGGAGCAUGACGAAGGUGCGUCGGGCAUAGUGUGAGGCAGGCAGGGAGGGAAAGCGGGAGUAAUGUAAGGGAGAUGGAGAGAGGGAGAAGAAAGAGGGGGAGAGUAGGGAGGGAACCGCACUUGGAAAUGGAAUCCGUAACUCAAUUCACCCAAUCUAACGCAGUUGAUACCUAUGCAUUUCGUUUCCUGGAUAUGUAAGAGUUAGAGGUGAACGGAACACUACUCGAUAUCAAACUUAUGAAAAAAGUAGCUAAAAUUUUACGCGCCAUUCAAUACUUCUUUUUCCUGAAUGCAGUUUUUUUCUUUUUUUUUUCUGCGUACGAGGUCGAGCUGAACUGAAAACUAAAACUGGAGCCUCGUCAAAGCUUCGAACCUUCAGUGUGAGUCCCUUGAGGGGAAUAAAACUGCCUCCAACCUUCAAUGCCUUGCUCGUGAUGUGCUUCCUUUGUUUAGUGUGACUCCUCUAUCUACUAUGCUCUCUCUCUCUCUCUCUCUCUCUCUCUCUCUCUCUCUCUCUCUCUCUCUCUCUCUCU